rnacentral:rRNA from 1 species
UACAGAGGGUGCGAGCGUUGUCCGGAAUCACUGGGCGUAAAGGGCGCGUAGGUGGCGGCCCAAGUCCAUGGUGAAAGCUCGAUGCUCAACAUCGAGUCGGCCACGGAUACUGGGUUGCUCGAGCACUGUAGGGGCAGAUGGAAUUCCGGGUGUAGCGGUGGAAUGCGUAGAGAUCCGGAAGAACACCGGUGGCGAAGGCGGUUAGCUGGGCAGUUGCUGACACUGAGGCGCGACAGCGUGGGGAGCAACAGG